GAUACUGGAAUUACCCAGACACCAAAAUACCUGGUCACAGCAAUGGGGAGUAAAAGGACAAUGAAACGUGAGCAUCUGGGACAUGAUUCUAUGUAUUGGUACAGACAGAAAGCUAAGAAAUCCCUGGAGUUCAUGUUUUACUACAACUGUAAGGAAUUCAUUGAAAACAAGACUGUGCCAAAUCACUUCACACCUGAAUGCCCUGACAGCUCUCGCUUAUACCUUCAUGUGGUCGCACUGCAGCAAGAAGACUCAGCUGCGUAUCUCUGCACCAGCAGCCAAGA
rnacentral:lncRNA from 1 species